UACGUAGGGAGCAAGCGUUGUCCGGAAUUACUGGGCGUAAAGAGCGUGUAGGCGGCCCUUUAAGUCAGAUGUGAAAACUCAGGGCUCAACCCUGAGACUGCAUCUGAUACUGGAGGGCUUGAGUGCAGGAGAGGAAAGUGGAAUUCCUAGUGUAGCGGUGAAAUGCGUAGAUAUUAGGAGGAACACCAGUGGCGAAGGCGACUUUCUGGACUGUAACUGACGCUGAGACGCGAAAGCGUGGGGAGCAAACAGGAUUAGAUACCCUGGUAGUCCACGCCGUAAACGAUGGGUACUAGGUGUAGGAGGUAUCGACCCCUUCUGUGCCGUAGCAAACGCAAUAAGUACCCCGCCUGGGGAGUACGGCCGCAAGGUUGAA
rnacentral:rRNA from 1 species